CUAUAGCAUGCUGAAAUGUUUUUUAAAUGGGUAGGAAAUUUCAAAUGCGGAAGACGAGGAACUGAAGAAAGCAUUGGAGCUUAGUUUACGAGAUUUCGAAAGAAAGUGUCCAGACGGGGAACGACAUUCUCCUCCAGUGGUCGUAGACAUUACAGAUUCUGUAAAGGGAAGAGAUUACACUCCUCAGGUUGAAGGUAUUGAAACUUCCACACGCUCAUACAGACUCGUUAGUAUUGUCAAUCACCU